rnacentral:lncRNA from 1 species
AUCAUUGUCAUUACAUUGUUAUUGUUGUGAAACCACACAUAUUAUUUAGUCUUGUGAAGAAUCUUGUGGAUACACAUACCAUCAAGAACAAACUUGAAUGAAAGGAUUAAGGAGCAUUCUUCAAAAGGCAUAAGGACAAUCAUCAAAAAAAGGAGGUUCAACAAUUCCACAUAUGGAUUCAGGUUAGCUUCCGCUCAUGUAGUUUAAUUCCGGAUUAUUCAAUAUGAAGAUUGUUAUAUUUAGUCGGAAUCAUAAUUCUAACACUUCAAUCUGCUAUUGAACUCUAACCUCGACCUUGCUAUCUCAAACUAUGCUUGAGUAACAAAAUCGCUUCUGUUUUGGUUAAAACCAACAGAAAACUAAUUGACUGUUUGAAGCAAAAAUAAAAAAGCAAACUAGAAUGAAAGCCAAAUAAAUGGGUGAUGCUUCGAAUUGGAGCCCUACUUCAGCGAAAAUCAGCAGCUUAGACUUCGAGCAACACUAAACAAUCCAGUAGUAUUACUCAACAACAAAUUAGGUACAGUAAAAUUAUCAACAGUGGUCAAGCACGUGAAUGUUAGAGAUUUAAAGCAUCAAAGAAGCAGCAAAUACAACUACAAUAGCAGAUCCGGUGACGACGACUCUAUUCAAGGAAGUAGAUCCGAUCAUUGAUGUAUCUGCUCUAUUGUUUACGUCACAAACUGAUUUUGGAAAAAGCACUCUUUAACUAAAUAUAAUGAGAACAUUUAGCAAUAGGAGAGGGGCAACUUUAACCAAAAGAAAAAUAUCAUAUGCAGAGAAACAUCAGCUUUAUGAGGUUUAAAAGCAGGAAGAAUUUUAUUUGGAAAAAGGAGAGUUCAGUUCAGUUUCAACAUACGGUUCGCGGUUACAAUUAUCGCUCAUAUACAGCAGUUAUUGAAAAUUAUAUUUUUUAUUGGAAAGUUUCAAAAGGUCUUUGCUUAUCUUUUAUCUUUUCUGUAUUUAUUCUUCAAAUAUAAAAUGUUCUUAUUGAAUUUUGUUUGUUGUCUAUAUGAUGCAUCGAGAUUUUAUGAGUUAUGUCAUGAUUAAUAAUCAAAUAAAAAGAUACAUUAUUUAUUAGUAUUAAUUAUCAUUUUUUUAUGAUUCCAUUUUUGUGUUUGUGUAAGUUAAAACGGAAAAAGAAUUUGGAGCCUACUACUGGUUUAUUUAAAUAGAGGAAGAGGAAGAAGAAGAGGUAACAGUAGUGUAAAUAAAAUCUGACAUAAAAUUGUUUAAAUUGGAGAUAUACACAGAUAGUGGUCCUGUUGCUGACUCAGCUUCUUAUAAUUUGUGUUUCACAUUUACUACAAGUCAUUUACGUACUGUUCAUUUUAAGACCAUGUUUUACGUGUUUUGUUCCCUUUUAUUUUGACUGGAUAUAGAAACUACUAUGUGUUUGAAAGUUGAACUUUGUGGUUUGAAUUGACAUAAUCUAUUGAAAAGAGAAUUAAAUUUUGUACUUCUUUUAGUUUGAUUUCUCUUGUUUAUUUUAAAAAUGAAGUUUUAUUUAAGGGUGUUAAACGAGGCGGGUCAGCUCGGUUUUGGAUCUGCUAAGAUCGGUUAAAAUCGGAAUCGGCUCGGACCGGUUAAAGAGGCCUGGACUGGGUUAGGGGGGUCGCGCAGGUUGCUCCGUUUAAGUUUGAAAUAGGGGUUACUCGGACCGGUCCAACUCGUUACGUGAACAGUGAUUGUGAACCGGCCCGGCCCGAUACAAUUAAAAACUAUAAUAAAAAUAUAUAAAAAAAUAUAGAAAGAUGCAAAUUGAGAUAAUCUAUGACUAUUUAUGUAUGAGUAAGUUAAAAUAUAAAAUAAAACUAAAUAUUUUCUUAAGAUAUUAAAGAUUUAUUGACUUCAUAAAUUAAAAAAUUCAAGUGGUAAAAUAAGAUCUUACAUAAAGCAUACAAUUAUUUAUAAGAUAAGAAAAAACUUAAAUAUUUAAGUGGUAAAACAAGAUCUUACAUAAAGCAUACAAUUAUUUAUAAGAUAAGAAAAAACUUAAAUAUUUAUAUUUUCUACAUAUCAAGUAUGACAUUAAGCCAAAUGACAUAUUCAGAAAAUGUUACUUAGCAUUUUAAAGGCAUAAUCCAAAUAGAUUUUUAGACAAAUUUAAUAAGGAUUAAAACAAAAUACAACAACAACAACAACAACUACUACCCAGUAUAGUCCUACAAAGUGGGGUCUAGAGAGGGUAAUAUGUAGACGAGCCUUAAAUUUGAUAAAAUUUAAUUUAUGGUAGAAAUCAAUUAAAAAUGAAUCACAUUCUUAUAGUAAAUAAAUUUUGAUAUCUUUCAAAAUAUAAUUAUUCACUAACCACUUGAUCUGUUUCUUUCAUUUCAAAAUUUUAUUAUUUUUAGAAAUAGUACACAUAGAAAUAAAAUGAUAAUGAAAAUAUUAUCAUUAGACAUAAUAUGUUCAAGCAAAUAAGAAAUUAACUUUUAUGAUUAAUAUCUAUAUUGAGUGCAGUUUUGAAAGCAUAAGAUAAUUUUUAUAAAUGCAACGCAAUUAAAAAAUAGAAGGAUAUAACUUUUUUUAAUUUGAGAUAAAAAAUGCUUUCUUGAAAUAUAAUAAGAAAAAUCAUAUUUCAGAAUAUGAACAUUAGAUUCAAAUUAUUUUUGAUUUUUAUCUGUAUUAUACUAAAAUGUGGGUGGUAAAAAUAGAUAUAAAUUAAACAAGGUAAUUAAAGCCACAUAACAAUAUAAUAAUAUUAUGUGUAUUGAAUAAUAUAAUAGCAAAAAUAAGGAAUAAAUUGACAGAGAAAAAUUAAAGCUUUCAUCAUAAAGAAAAAUAAUAAAACUUAUUUAAAUUUGAGAUGAGAAAAUUGUUAUUUAUCUAUUAUGAUAAGGAAGAUCAUAUUGUGGGUAAUACCAUGCAACUUAUGUCUAACAAAUAAAAUAAGAACUUAAAAAAUAAUUGGAAAUAGUGUGAGAAGAUUUAUGCUAAGAAUUAGUUUAGAAAAUAAUAUAAAGCGAAAUAAAAUAAUUAAAAAGUACUUUUGAUAACUUUAAAUAACUUAAGAAUUCAAGCAAUAUUUUUAAAAUAAAAUAGAUAUUUAUUUUAAGAUUAAAAGUAUUCUAAAUUUAUUUAUAUUAUAUUAAAAGAUAGAAAUGAAUAAUAACACUAAAUAAAGUGAUGGAUUAAUUAAAAGCCAUAUGAAACUGUGAUAACACCAUAUAUCUUAUAACAUUAUAGCAAAAGUAAAAAAUAUUAAAUUUAAUAUUAGAAAUAAAAGGAAAAGACUAUUUUACUUAAUAUUAGAAAGUUCUUAAAAUUAUGAUGAGAAUGCUCAAACUGUGGAUAGGACAACCAAAAAUUAAAGUCUUACUAGAUAUAGAAUUAAAGUUUUAAAAAAUAUAAAAUAAAUAUCUAAUAUACUAGACAACAUGUGUCCCCCGGAUGCAUGAUAAAAAUUGACCUCCAGAAAGCGUAUGAUUCAGUUGAAUGGGUAUUUCUACAGCGACAACAUGUGUCCCCCAGAUGCAUGAUUAAAAUUGACCUCCAGAAAGCUUAUGACUCAGUUGAAUGGGUACUUCUACAGCAGGUUAUGGAACAGAUUGGCUUCCCCAGCACCUUCAUCAAAUGGAUAAUGGAAUGUAUCUCAACAGUGAGCUUCUCUGUGCUAGUCAAUGGAGAGGCAACUUAAC